rnacentral:rRNA from 1 species
CACGAAGCAAUCGGAAGUGGUUCCAAGAAAAGCCUCUAAGCUUCAGUCAUACGAGACCGUACCGCAAACCGACACAGGUGGGCGAGAUGAGUAUUCUAAGGCGCUUGAGAGAACUCGGGAGAAGGAACUCGGCAAAUUGGUACCGUAACUUCGGGAAAAGGUACGCCCCGGUAGCUUGAUUGGUUUACUCCAUGAGGGUGAAAGGGUUGCAAUAAACUGGUGGCUGCGACUGUUUAAUAAAAACACAGCACUCUGCAAACACGAAAGUGGACGUAUAGGGUGUGACGCCUGCCCGGUGCUGGAAGAUUAAAUGAUGGGGUGCAAGCUCUUGAUUGAAGUCCCAGUAAACGGCGGCCGUAACUAUAACGGUCCUAAGGUAGCGAAAUUCCUUGUCGGGUAAGUUCCGACCUGCACGAAUGGCGUAACGAUGGCCACACUGUCUCCUCCCGAGACUCAGCGAAGUUGAAAUGUUUGUGAUGAUGCAAUCUACCCGCGGCUAGACGGAAAGACCCCAUGAACCUUUACUGUAGCUUUGCAUUGGACUUUGAACCAAUCUGUGUAGGAUAGGUGGGAGGCUUUGAAGCGGGGACGCUAGUUCUCGUGGAGCCAACCUUGAAAUACCACCCUGGUUUGUUUGAGGUUCUAACCUUGGUCCGUUAUCCGGAUCGGGGACAGUGCAUGGUAGGCAGUUUGACUGGGGCGGUCUCCUCCUAAAGUGUAACGGAGGAGUUCGAAGGUACGCUAGAUACGGUCGGACAUCGUGUUGAUAGUGCAAUGGCAUAAGCGUGCUUAACUGCGAGACUGACAAGUCGAGCAGGUACGAAAGUAGGACAUAGUGAUCCGGUGGUUCUGUAUGGAAGGGCCAUCGCUCAACGGAUAAAAGGUACUCUGGGGAUAACAGGCUGAUUCCUCCCAAGAGUUCAUAUCGACGGGGGAGUUUGGCACCUCGAUGUCGGCUCAUCACAUCCUGGGGCUGUAGCCGGUCCCAAGGGUAUGGCUGUUCGCCAUUUAAAGUGGUACGUGAGCUGGGUUUAAAACGUCGUGAGACAGUUUGGUCCCUAUCUGCCGUGGGCGUUGGAAAUUUGAAGGGGGCUGCUCCUAGUACGAGAGGACCGGAGUGGACGAACCUCUGGUGUACCGGUUGUCACGCCAGUGGCAUUGCCGGGUAGCUAAGUUCGGAAGAGAUAACCGCUGAAAGCAUCUAAGCGGGAAACUUGCCUUGAGAUGAGAUUUCCCAGAGCCUUGAGCUCUUUGAAGGGUCGUUCGAGACCAGGACGUUGAUAGGCUGGGUGUGGAAGUGCAGUAAUGCAUUAAGCUAACCAGUACUAAUUGCCCGUACGGCUUGUCC